GUUGUAUAGUCAAGUAAUUAAGUGCAUGUGGUGGAUGCCUUGGCAGUCAGAGGCGAUGAAAGACGUAAUAGCCUGCGAUAAGCUCCGGGGAGGCGGCAAAUAUCCUGUGAUCCGGAGAUUUCUGAAUGGGGAAACCCACCUGUCAUAAGGCAGGUAUCGUAUGAUGAAUACAUAGUCAUACGAGGCGAACGAGGGGAAGUGAAACAUCUCAGUACCCUUAGGAAAAGAAAUCAAUUGAGAUUCCCUUAGUAGCGGCGAGCGAACGGGGAAAAGCCCAUUAAGUCAUAUAAGUUUUAGUGGAAUGCUCUGGGAAGUGCAACCAUAGUGGGUGAUAGUCCUGUACACGAAAGGGCUGAUAUGAUGAUGUCGAGUAGGGCGGGGCACGUGAAACCUUGUCUGAAUAUGGGGGGACCAUCCUCCAAGGCUAAAUACUCCUGACUGACCGAUAGUGAACCAGUACCGUGAGGGAAAGGCGAAAAGAACCCCUGUGAGGGGAGUGAAAUAGAUCCUGAAACCGCAUGCAUACAAGCAGUGGGAGCCGACAUGUUCGGUGACUGCGUACCUUUUGUAUAAUGGGUCAGCGACUUACAUUCAGUAGCGAGGUUAACCGCAUAGGGGAGCCGUAGAGAAAUCGAGUCUUAAUAGGGCGUUUAGUUGCUGGGUGUAGACCCGAAACCGGGUGAUCUAUCCAUGAGCAGGUUGAAGGUUGGGUAACACUAACUGGAGGACCGAACCCACUGUCGUUGAAAAGCCAGGGGAUGACUUGUGGAUAGGGGUGAAAGGCUAAUCAAACUCGGUGAUAGCUGGUUCUCCCCGAAAGCUAUUUAGGUAGCGCCUCGGACGAAUACCAUUGGGGGUAGAGCACUGUUUCGGCUAGGGGGUCAUCCCGACUUACCAAACCGAUGCAAACUCCGAAUACCAAUGAGUACUAUCCGGGAGACAGACUGCGGGUGCUAACGUCCGUAGUCAAGAGGAAAACAAUCCAGACCGCCAGCUAAGGCCCCAAAAUUAUAGUUAAGUGGGAAACGAUGUGGGAAGGCAUAGACAGCUAGGAGGUUGGCUUAGAAGCAGCCACCCUUUAAAGAAAGCGUAAUAGCUCACUAGUCGAGUCGGCCUGCGCGGAAGAUGUAACGGGGCUAAAACUAUAUGCCGAAGCUGCGGAUUUGCAAUUUAUUGCAAGUGGUAGGGGAGCGUUCUGUAAGCCGAUGAAGGUGUAUUGAGAAGUAUGCUGGAGGUAUCAGAAGUGCGAAUGCUGACGUGAGUAACGACAAUGCGAGUGAAAAACUCGCACGCUGAAAGACCAAGGGUUCCAGUCCAACGUUAAUCGGGGCUGGGUGAGUCGACCCCUAAGGCGAGGCCGAGAGGCGUAGUCGAUGGGAAAUUGGUUAAUAUUCCAAUACUUCUGUGUAAUGCGAUGAGAGGACGGAGAAGGUUAAGUCAGCCUGGCGUUGGUUGUCCAGGUGGAAGGUUGUAGGCAUGCAUCUUAGGCAAAUCCGGGGUGCUCUAUGCUGAGAACUGAUAGCAAGCUGUACUUGUACAGUGAAGUGGCUGAUACCAUGCUUCCAGGAAAAGUCUCUAAGCUUCAGUUACACAGGAAUCGUACCCGAAACCGACACAGGUGGUCAGGUCGAGUAGACCAAAGCGCUUGAGAGAACUCUGCUGAAGGAACUAGGCAAAAUGGUACCGUAACUUCGGGAGAAGGUACGCUGCCGACG
rnacentral:rRNA from 1 species